GCCCUAGUCUACACACAGCCUUCUUAAUUUUACCCUUUUAGAGAGACUCAUUUGACAUUUGAUUUAUUGCGAGUCCAUUUGAGUCCAGGACUCCAGUGGGGUUGUCGCGUGAUAUUUGUGAUGAGGGUUACAAAAAUAG